GAGACACUAGUAAAACAGACAUUACAUUGCCUUGUCAAGGCAAAAUUGUAGGUUAAACCCCUGCGUAUCUUA
rnacentral:tRNA from 1 species